rnacentral:rRNA from 1 species
CACAAGCGGUGGAGCAUGUGGUUUAAUUCGACGCAACGCGAAGAACCUUACCAGGCCUUGACAUGCAGAGAACUUUCCAGAGAUGGAUUGGUGCCUUCGGGAACUCUGACACAGGUGCUGCAUGGCUGUCGUCGGCUCGUGUCGUGAGAUGUUGGGUUAAGUCCCGUAACGAGCGCAACCCUUGUCCUUAGUUACCAGCACGUUAUGGUGGGCACUCUAAGGAGACUGCCGGUGACAAACCGGAGGAAGGUGGGGAUGACGUCAAGUCAUCAUGGCCCUUACGGCCUGGGCUACACACGUGCUACAAUGGUCGGUACAAAGGGUUGCCAAGCCGCGAGGUGGAGCUAAUCCCAUAAAACCGAUCGUAGUCCGGAUCGCAGUCUGCAACUCGACUGCGUGAAGUCGGAAUCGCUAGUAAUCGUGAAUCAGAAUGUCACGGUGAAUACGUUCCCGGGCCUU